AGGGGAAGAAACCCCCGACGUGUCGGGGCUUGCCGGUACCCUGGGAAUAAGCAUCGGCUAACUCCGUGCCAGCAGCCGCGGUAAUACGGAGGAUGCGAGCGUUAUCCGGAUUUAUUGGGUUUAAAGGGUGCGUAGGCGGAUUAAUAAGUCAGUGGUGAAAACUGCAGCUUAACUGUAGACUUGCCAUUGAUACUGUUAGUCUUGAGUACGGUCAAGGUAGGCGGAAUGUGUAAUGUAGCGGUGAAAUGCUUAGAUAUUACACAGAACACCGAUUGCGAAGGCAGCUUACUGGGCCAUUACUGACGCUGAUGCACGAAAGCGUGGGGAGCGAACAGGAUUAGAUACCCUGGUAGUCCACGCCGUAAACGAUGAUCACUCGCUGUUGGCGAUACACAGUCAGCGGCUAAGCAAAAGCAUUAAGUGAUCCACCUGGGGAGUACGGCCGCAAGGCUGAAACUCAAAGGAAUUGACGGGGGCCCGCACAAGCGGAGGAACAUGUGGUUUAAUUCGAUGAUACGCGAGGAACCUUACCUGGGCUUAAAUGUAGAGUGCAUUUCGCUGAAAGGCGGAUUCCCUUCGGGGCUCUUUGCAAGGUGCUGCAUGGUUGUCGUCAGCUCGUGCCGUGAGGUGUCGGGUUAAGUCCCAUAACGAGCGCAACCCUUAUCGUUAGUUGCCAGCGGGUCAAGCCGGGAACUCUAACGAAACUGCCGGUGUAAACCGUGAGGAAGGUGGGGAUGACGUCAAAUCAGCACGGCCCUUAUGUCCAGGGCUACACACGUGUUACAAUGGCCGGUACAGAGGGCAGCUACCUGGAGACUGGAUGCGAAUCUCCAAAGCCGGUCUCAGUUCGGAUCGGAGUCUGCAACUCGACUUCGUGAAGCUGGAUUCGCUAGUAAUCGCGCAUCAGCCAUGACGCGGUGAAUACGUUCCCGGGCCUUGUACACACCGCCCGUCAAGCCAUGGAAGUUGGGGGUACCUGAAGUCCGUAACCGAAAGGAGCGGCCUAG
rnacentral:rRNA from 1 species